GCCCGCCUAGCUCAGUCGGUAGAGCGCCAGGCUUUUACGAGAUGUUGACACCUGGUGGUCGGGGGUUCGAGCCCCCCGGUGGGCG
rnacentral:tRNA from 1 species